GGGGAAUCUUGCGCAAUGGGCGAAAGCCUGACGCAGCGACGCCGCGUGGGUGAUGAAGGCCUUCGGGUUGUAAAGCCCUGUGGGGAGAGACGAAUAAGGCCGGGCGAACAUCCCGGUUGAUGACGGUAUCUCUUUAGCAAGCACCGGCUAACUCUGUGCCAGCAGCCGCGGUAAGACAGAGGGUGCAAACGUUGUUCGGAAUUACUGGGCGUAAAGCGCAUGUAGGCGGCCAAGCAGGUCGGGUGUGAAAUCCCUCGGCUCAACCAAGGAAGUGCACUCGAAACCGCAUGGCUAGAGUCCCGGAGAGGAAGGCGGAAUUGUCGGUGUAGAGGUGAAAUUCGUAGAUAUCGACAGGAACACCUGUGGCGAAAGCGGCCUUCUGGACGAGGACUGACGCUGAGAUGCGAAAGCGUGGGGAGCAAAC
rnacentral:rRNA from 1 species